GCGAGAGUGCUGGAAUUGGCAGACAGGCACGUUUGAGGGGCGUGUGGCCUUGUGCCGUGCGGGUUCAAGUCCCGCCUCUCGCACCA
rnacentral:tRNA from 1 species